rnacentral:rRNA from 1 species
GACGAACGCUGGCGGCGUGCUUAACACAUGCAAGUCGAGCGGAAAGGCCCUUCGGGGUACUCGAGCGGCGAACGGGUGAGUAACACGUGGGCAACCUGCCCUCAGCUCUGGGAUAACUCCGGGAAACCGGGGCUAAUACUGGAUAUGACCUCGUCGGGCAUCCGACCUGGUGGAAAGUUUUUGCGGCUGAGGAUGGGCCCGCGGCCUAUCAGCUUGUUGGGUGGGGUUACGGCCUACCAAGGCGACGACGGGAGCCGGCCUGAGAGGGCGACCGGCCACACUGGGAUUGAGACACGGCCCAGACUCCUACGGGAGGCAGCAGUGGGGAAUAUUGCACAAUGGGCGAAAGCCUGAUGCAGCGACGCCGCGUGAGGGAUGACGGCC